rnacentral:rRNA from 1 species
UAGAGUUUGAUCAUGGCUCAGGGCUAACGCUGGCGGCGCGCCUAACACAUGCAAGUCGAACGGGCACUUCGGUGCUAGUGGCAGACGGGUGAGUAACGCGUGGAUAAUGUGCCUCUUUGCUGGGGAUACCGUUUCGAAAGGAACGUUAAUACCGAAUGUGCUGAAUUUGUGGCAUCACAGAUUGAGUAAACUGUUAGGGUGAAGAGAGCAGUCCGCGUUCUAUCAGCUUGUUGGUGGGGUAAUGGCCUACCAAGGCUACGACGGAUAACUGGUCUGAGAGGAUGAUCAGCCACACUGGAACUGAGACACGGUCCAGACUCCUACGGGAGGCAGCAGUGAGGAAUCUUGCACAAUGGGCGAAAGCCUGAUGCAGCGACGCCGCGUGAGGGACGAAGGCCUUCGGGUUGUAAACCUCUGUCAGUGGGGAAGAAGAAUGACGGUACCCACUGAGGAAGCUUCGGCUAACUACGUGCCAGCAGCCGCGGUAAU